CACACACUCCCUCCAUUAAAGCUUCUUCAAGCUUUUGAGCUCCGAUUUGAGCACCGAGACGAGCGCCGAUCAUCUUUUUGAUCACGUUUUUACGUAGGUCCUUUUGGGAAGUAACGACUUGAGGGAGAGAGUGACGUUACUCAUUGAUACAGAGACACAACGAGGUUGAGCUGAUGUGAUGAUGGUGCUGCAAUGAGCGGAGUCUCCAGGGUUGUUAAUAAAUAGUUAACCUGUCUAGAAUAUGUCUUCAUACAUAUGUCUAGCUACUUUCCGCUGCAAGAUGUUGUUGAUGUUAUAGUAUGUUAUGUCAUACUUUGAGUCUUAAGAGAAUGGUUUCAUAUGAUGUAUAACUUGAUUAAUGAUAUUAAUUAAGUUUUAUGUUGUCUUUCA